rnacentral:rRNA from 1 species
GUGGGGAAUAUUGCACAAUGGGGGAAACUCUGAUGCAGCGACGCCGCGUGAGUGAAGAAGUAUUUCGGUAUGUAAAGCUCUAUCAGCAGGGAAGAUAAUGACAGUACCUGACUAAGAAGCCCCGGCUAACUACGUGCCAGCAGCCGCGGUAAUACGUAGGGGGCAAGCGUUAUCCGGAUUUACUGGGUGUAAAGGGAGCGUAGACGGAAUGGCAAGUCUGAAGUGAAAUCCUGCGGCUUAACUGCAGAAUUGCUUUGGAAACUGUCAAUCUGGAGUGUUGGAGAGGUAAGCGGAAUUCCUGGUGUAGCGGUGAAAUGCGUAGAUAUCAGGAAGAACACCGGAGGCGAAGGCGGCUUACUGGACAAUAACUGACGUUGAGGCUCGAAAGCGUGGGAAGCAAACAGGAUUAGAAACCCUGGUAGUCC